CCUACGGGUGGCAGCAGUGGGGAAUAUUGGACAAUGGGCGAAAGCCUGAUCCAGCCAUGCCGCGUGUGUGAAGAAGGCCUUCGGGUUGUAAAGCACUUUCAGUGGGGAAGAAAGCCUUGGGGCUAAUACCCUCGAGGAAGGACAUCACCCACAGAAGAAGCACCGGCUAACUCCGUGCCAGCAGCCGCGGUAAUACGGAGGGUGCGAGCGUUAAUCGGAAUUACUGGGCGUAAAGCGCGCGUAGGCGGUCUGAUAAGCCGGUUGUGAAAGCCCCGGGCUCAACCUGGGAACGGCAUCCGGAACUGUCAGGCUAGAGUGCAGGAGAGGAAGGUAGAAUUCCCGGUGUAGCGGUGAAAUGCGUAGAGAUCGGGAGGAAUACCAGUGGCGAAGGCGGCCUUCUGGACUGACACUGACGCUGAGGUGCGAAAGCGUGGGUAGCAAACAGGAUUAGAACCCUUGUAGUC
rnacentral:rRNA from 1 species